rnacentral:lncRNA from 1 species
AUCGUUGUUCACUCACUUCACCCACCGGCAUCGUAUCGCGGAGGUUUUUAUUCCCCCAAAAUUCUUUUUCGUCUAACAAAUUUUACCUUGCAGUCUCUCUCUCUCGAAACCCUAACCCUAAUUCCUCAAUUCACAACCUUCCUUUCACUCUUUCAUUUCGCAGGUACUCUCACCCCUUAUUCUAAAACCCUAGAAUACUCUCUAUCUCCAAAUCUCUAUUAAUUUUAGGGUUAAUUAAUUUGCUUGAUUGAAUGAUUAAUUAAUUCAAUUAACACCAUUAAUUGCAGAUAAUGGGAGAACCAAAGGACGAAACUUACGAGGAAGAGCUUCUUGAUUACGAGGAAGAAGAAGACAAAGCUCCCGAUACCAACGGAGCUAAAGUCAACGGUGAAGCUACCAAGAAG